UGUACCGGGUAAUAUUAGCUGAAAUUUUAUUAAAAGAAAGGUUUGUUUACUGGCUAUUGUUGUAGUUGAAAUGGAGACUUACUUUUUAAUCACACUUAAAUUUACUGUCCUAAGUGUUGUCACUUAUAUUUCAGCUUAUUUCUAAGCUCAGCCUUAUUAAUAAUAUACUAUUGUAAAUCAUAGAUUAUUUGGCAAUCAGUUCUUUAGCAUUCAACAUUAUCUGGUGAUUUUGUUCAAUCUUGCAAAAACAGUGAAUAAUCUAGUAAUUACUAGAAAAACUACUACUACAAUCUGGUGGUUGGAUACCACAUGGCUGGAUGUGAUUGAACAAAGAAUCCAGUGUUCAAAUGCUUUGAUGAAUAUUGUUGAACAUUGGAAAUAAAAAGAAAAAGUAUAAUUUUUCAGUAGAGUUCUAUGUCAGAAAUAUGGUAAUAAAAAUAAUAAAUUACAUUUUUCAACAAUUGUCACUUUAUUUUUGAGUGUAUGAAAAACUAUACCUUAAGGAUGUCAAGGUCUGAAGUGUGUUUGUUCUUCCUAACAUAACUACUGUUAGGUGGACCAGGGCAUCUUUGAGUCUAUAAUGAAGUGCAAUAAAAAUAUACAGAUAGCCUAUACAGUGGAACCUCUACUUAUGAGUGCAUCCACGUGCAGGUUUUUUCCAGAUAUGAGCAGCUGCUCGGUCAAUUUUUUGCUUCCAGACGUGAUCAAAAUUUCCAGAUGCGAGCAGGCCUCAAGGGAGGUUAAUUGACACUGGUGAGGGGCUCUUGCUCUUGAUCGGAAUUGGAUCUCAGUUGUUUGUUGGACUAUCUUAUUGAAACUUGGGCAAUGUAUGAUGAAAAGAUGCUCCUUAACGUACACCAAAAAUGAAAGAAAUCGGACCAUAAAUAACGAAGUUCACUUCUCAGCCAUUAGCCUCCCCUUAGCGGUAUAUUUUUGUAUGGUUUUUAUGGUUGUAUUCUUGUUUUAUUUGGUCUUGUGUGAUAGAAUGGAAGAUAUAUUACAAAAAUAAAUAUGAUUUUUAAUUGGUUUCACGAUGAAAAGUACAGUACCUUGAAAUUGAGCUCAAAAUAGCAGAAAUGUUUGAUUCUUUGGCGACAUCAGUGGUAGACAUCAUGAGGUAGCAGUGGCAGACAACAUGAAGCAGCAGUGACAGACAAUGUGAAGCAGCAGUGGCAGACAACAUGAAGCAGCAUUGACAGACAACAUGAAGCAGCAGUGACAGACAACAUGAAGCAGCAGUUGCAAAGGUGUAGCAUUAAAAGUGUAGCACUUGUAAGUCACUCUGUCUGACUUUUUUGGGUUAUCCUAGGUUCUCUACACAUGUAGUCAGGAGCAGGAAUGGCCGCUGUGGUGGCCCUAUAACAAUGGCUGCUGUCACCACCACUAGCCACAUACCUAAUGACAUGUAUUUUAUUCAUUCUUGUGUAUAUAUCAUGUUUCUAUGUUAUUAAUAUUGUUUAUUAUGUCAUAUUACAUAACUUGUGAUAGAUAAAUAAGCUGUAGAGAUUAUAUUAGGGAAAUUAUGAAAGUGUUUUCUCAUGCCUGGAAUUCCAAUGGAACGAUUUGAUUUAAUUUAAUUUCAGUUAAUUUAAAUGAGGAAAAUUGACUCUGCAAAUCCAGUUGCGAGCAAGGUCAUGGAACGGAUUAAACUCGUAAGUAGAGGUUCCACUGUACUUAGGAGAGGGGAAAUUUAUGAUGAUGAUUCAGUCUGACCCGAACCAUUGACAUGUUGAGUGACCGAAAUAUCAUCAUAAGUUUCCUUCCAUAAGUGCAGGUUAUCUGUGUAUUGUUCAAGAUGCAGUAUUGUGACAUUUUAUUCUUUGUAUGAUAAGUUUAUGAAAAAACAUCAUUACUGGGAGACAUUGGUGUGUCCAUGGAGUGAAUCAAGUGUCACUACACAAUGGCUAGUGCAAGAUCUUGGUGUGGGAGAACUCUGAACAUGACUAAGAGAACUAGAGUAUUAUCUGAUGAUAAAACUGACAGAUGAUAUUGAUGUGACUGAUGGUGAAUUUGAAAAUUGGCUACAGGAGAAUGAUGGAGAUCUAGAGAUUGAUAUAUUGAGUAAAAAAAAUAAUGAAACUGUUAAAUGUGUGCAUAAGGGGGAUAACAAUGAAGCACUUGAAAAAAAAUGUGAACUUAUAAAUGUUCAAGAGAGUUUGGACUUUGUGUUAAGAUAUAUUAAUUUGAGCAGUGAAACUAUUUUGAAGUGUACUAGUACACCUUAGAAUAUUUAACCCUUAACCCGUAAACUGCCCAAACAUAGAUCUACAUUUUUUUCAGCAUUUGAAAGUAUGUAAAAAAAUGUAGAUCUUCUUUUUUUUUUUUUUUUUACAUUUGAAAACGUGUAAAAAAACUUUGAUCUGCGUUUUUUUUUUUUUUGUUAUAUUUGAAAAUAUGUAAAAAAAACGUAGAUCUACUUUUGGAGCACUACACAUGUGAAUAUAGAUCUGUUUGGACAGUUUAAGGGUUAACUCUUUCAGGGUCCCCAGGCCCUCUCCGAGACUUGUUCUCGGGGUCCCCAAAUUUUAAAAAAAAAAAAAUUAUUUUUUCUUAUGAAAAGAUAGAGAAUCUUUUCCCGAUCAUAAUGACACCAAAAGUAUGAAAUUUGAUGGAAAACUUAUGGAAUUAUGCUCUCGCAAAGUUAGCGGUCUCGACAAUGUUUACACAUCGGCGAUUUUGCCCACUUUGAGCCCAAUUUUCGGCCAAUUCUAGUGUACUAGUCAACAAAAAUCAUAACUAUUUUGCUAGAACUCCAUUUUUUUCCAUCGAAUGAGUACAAGAAACCACCCAUUUACCAAUUUCAACUAUCCAAUAAAGUGGUCAGAAUUUAGCAAUUUUGCCAAUUUCACACAAAUUUCAAAAGAUGCCAAUUUCUGAAUAGGGUCCAAAAUAAACAAGAAAGACAUUUCUGGCACUAAAAUAACAAGUUCUUUGUUCGUUAGUCACAUCCCCAGGCCCCUCUUUUAUUUCUUUGGCUUUCCACUUUGAAUUUUUAUUCUUACAAAAAAUAGAAGAUUUACUGUUAUGCAGACUACUGCAUUAGUGUAGAAAUGGUAUAAAUAAUAUCAGCGCACUUGUGAAAGAAUAUUAGACUCACCAGUUGACGUGUAUUGGACGCUUGGCAUGAUUUGUUUACUUUUGAACUUUGGUAAAAAUCGAACAUUUCUGCUACUUUGAGCUCAAUUUCAAGGUACUUUUCAUUGUAAAACCAGUCAAAAUCAUCUCAAUUUCUGUAAUAUGUCUUCCAUUCUAUAAAAUGAGACCAGGAAAACUACAAUACAACAAUAAAUACCAUACGAAAAUACAGUGCAAAGUCGCUGUUUAGUCCAAAAACACGGUCAAAGUUUUUUUUUUCUCAUUAUGCACUGUGUGCUGCAGAUUUUUUUUAUACUGUGCACACUGACCACAUAGACCCAUUCUUUCAUAUGUAGGCCUACCAGCUUUCUCUCACUAGAUCUGAAGGCGCUAGAAUUUAGGCAUACUAGUACGUCAAAAACCCUGGGGUGUAAGCCGUACUUGUACGGCCGAAACCCUGAGAGGGUUAAACUGUCCAAACGUUGAUCUACGUUUGCACGCGUAGUGCUCCGACCAUGAUUUUCUCCAUAAAUAAGCAUAUAAAAAAAACAUACAUCACGUUCGGAGCACUACGGGAGUGAAUGUAGAUCUACGUUUGGACAGGUUAAGGGUUAAAGAAGUAAAGAACACAUUUGUAGGCAUUAUCAGAAUGGAGAGCAGCUAAAAAUUUAAUCCUCUUGUGAGCCUCUGCCACAGUCUAGGAAAGUGUCCUGUGAACCCUGGCCCUCUGCUUAUCAGCAAUGCAUCCUCCACUUUCUUCUCAUUCAAGUGCCUCGCCCUCCAGCUGAAUUAUGACCCCUGAAAAAUCAUCACAGAUAAUGGAUUUGGGCUAAGAAGAUUAACAGGUUAGAUCUAGAUGUACAAAUCAUCCCAUAAUCACCCCAAGCAGAGUCUGUGAAACUUGAAUGGUGAGUAUAGUGACCCCUUUAGUACAACAUUUAUUUUUGUUUAUUUAUAAAAUAAAUAUAUUUACAGCAUAUAUGGAGCACCUAAACAAAGUUUAAAAAGAAUUCACAAAAAAAGAUCCAUGGUGUGAUUAAUGUGUGUUUUUGAAAGUGUGAUGAACUCUCACUUCAAAGGUGCCAAGUAAAUGAUAAUCUGCCAUCCCCAGAAUGCAGCCCACAAUGCUCUGCUACCUAGUUACAGUACUAUACUGUCUAGCGCUAGGUGAACAUGGGCAACAGGUUUAAGAAGACUUGCCUAGCUUGGGAAUUGAUAAUGGAUCCUUUUGGUUGUGGGCUGAGCACAGCAGAGCCACCUACUUAUGAAGUUAAUGCUUCAGGGUCACCUACUUAUGAAGUUAAUGCUUCCUGAAUAUUCAUCAUAAGUUGAUUGUUUGGAUCUUGGAAUUUAUUUUCCCAAUAAAAACAAAGUUAUAAUUGGAGACGCAUUACUAAGCCAUAAUAUUCCAUAUUGAAUUUCAUUAAAUUUUUUUACUAAAAAUAUUUAUCUAU